rnacentral:rRNA from 1 species
AAACAUCGCCUCCUGCUGAAAUAUAGUAGGUACAGCCUGCCCAGUGACCCGUUUAACGGCCGCGGUAUCCUAACCGUGCGAAGGUAGCGUAAUCACCUGUUUUUUAAUUAAAGACCUGUAUGAAUGGCACCACGAGAGUCACACUGUCUCCUUUUCCCAAUCAGUGAAACUAAUCCCCCUGUGAAAAAGCAGGGAUAACUAUACAAGACGAGAAGACCCUUUGGAGCUUCAGACAAUAUGAUGACCUCUUCCCUAACAACCUCAUCACUAGUCUUCGGUUGGGGCAACCACGGAAGAAUAAAAAAACCUCCGAGAUGAGCAACCUAACAAAAAGCCACACCUUUAAGUAUCAAAACCGACAUCAAUUGACCCAAUACUUUGACCAACGAACCAAGUUACCCAAGGGAUAACAGCGCAAUCCACUUCAAGAGUCCCUAUCGACAAGUGGGCUUACGACCUCGAUGUUGGAUCAAGAUAUCCCAGUGGUGCAGCCGCUACUAAUGGUUCGUUUGUUCAACGAUUAAAAUCUCACGUGAUCUGA